UACGGAGGGGGCUAGCGUUGUUCGGAAUUACUGGGCGUAAAGCGUACGUAGGCGGUUUUGUAAGUUAGAGGUGAAAGCCCGGAGCUCAACUUCGGAAUUGCCUUUAAGACUGCAUCACUUGAACGUCGGAGAGGUGAGUGGAAUUCCGAGUGUAGAGGUGAAAUUCGUAGAUAUUCGGAAGAACACCAGUGGCGAAGGCGGCGAUCUGGGUCGAUACUGACGCUGAGGUGCGAAAGCGUGGGGAGCAAACAGG
rnacentral:rRNA from 1 species